ACUUCCGAGAAAAGCUCGUACUACAUUAUGUGAAUCAAAAACCUGUACCCGAAACUGACACAAGUAGGUAGGUAGAGAAUACCAAGGGGAGCGAGAUAACUCUCUCUAAGGAACUCGGCAAAAUGGCCCCGUAACUUCGGGAGAAGGGGUGCCCCCCUCGGGGGGCCGCAGUGACCAGGCCCAGGCGACUGUUUACCAAAAACACAGGUCUCCGCUAAGUCGUAAGACAAUGUAUGGGGGCUGACGCCUGCCCAGUGCCGGAAGGUGAAGGAAGUUGGUUAUUUUUCAUUAGAAAGAGAAGCUGGUAACCGAAGCCCCGGUGAACGGCGGCCGUAACUAUAACGGUCCUAAGGUAGCGAAAUUCCUUGUCGGGUAAGUUCCGACCCGCACGAAAGGCGUAACGAUCUGGGCACUGUCUCAGAGAGAGACUCGGUGAAAUAGACAUAUUCGUGAAGAUGCGAAUUAAUCAUACUUGGACAGAAAGACCCUAUGAAGCUUGACUGUAGUCUGGAAUUGGGUUUGGGUUCUUCUUGCGCAGACUAGGUGGGAGGCGUUGAUCAUUUCUUUCCGGGGAAAUAGGAGCCAUCAGUGAGAGACCACUCUUGAAGAACUAGAAUUCUAAUGGCGAUCCUUGAAGCAGGACGCUUGACAGUUUCUGAUGGGCAGUUUGACUGGGGCGGUCGCCUCAUAAAAGGUAACUGAGGCGUACAAAGGUUCCUUCAGAAUGGAUGGAAAUCAUUCGUAGAGUAUAAAGGUAUAAGGGAGCUUGACUGAAAGACCUACAAGUCGAACAGGGGCGAAAGCCGGUCUUAGUGAUCCGACGGUGCCGCGUGGAAGGGCCGUCGCUCAACGGAUAAAAGUUACUCUAGGGAUAACAGGCUGAUCUUCCCCAAGAGUUCACAUCGACGGGAAGGUUUGGCACCUCGAUGUCGAUUUCUCGCAACCUGGGGCGGUAGUACGUCCCAAGGGUUGGGCUGUUCGCCCAUGAAAGCGGGACGCGAGUUGGGUUCAGAACGUCGUGAGACAGUUCGGUCCAUAUCCAGUAUGAUCGUUAGAGUAUUGAGAGAAGCUCUCCCUAGUACGAGAGGACCGGGAGGGACACACCAAUAGUUUACCAGUUGUCGUACCAACGGCAUACGCUGGGUAGCCAUGUGUGGAGCGGAUAACUGCUGAAAGCAUCUAAGUAGGAAGCCCAUCUCGAGAUGAGUACUCUCUUGAGGUCACGGUAAGAAAAACCGUUGAUAGGUGUUACGUGUACAAUCAGUAAUGGUUUUAGCGAAGACAUACUAAUAGACCGAAUGACUUUGAC
rnacentral:rRNA from 1 species